rnacentral:rRNA from 1 species
AGCGAACGCUGGCGGCAGGCUUAACACAUGCAAGUCGAACGGGCAUAGCAAUAUGUCAGUGGCAGACGGGUGAGUAACGCGUGGGAACGUACCUUUUGGUUCGGAACAACACAGGGAAACUUGUGCUAAUACCGGAUAAGCCCUUACGGGGAAAGAUUUAUCGCCGAAAGAUCGGCCCGCGUCUGAUUAGCCAGUUGGUAGGGUAAUGGCCUACCAAGGCGACGAUCAGUAGCUGGUCUGAGAGGAUGAUCAGCCACAUUGGGACUGAGACACGGCCCAAACUCCUACGGGAGGCAGCAGUGGGGAAUAUUGGGCAAUGGGCGAAAGCCUGAUCCAGCCAUGCCGCGUGAGUGAUGAAGGCCCUAGGGUUGUAAAGCUCUUUUGUGCGGGAAGAUAAUGACGGUACCGCAAGAAUAAGCCCCGGCUAACUUCGUG